GACGAACGCUGGCGGCGUGCUUAACACAUGCAAGUCGAACGGAAAGGCCCUGCUUUUGUGGGGUGCGCGAGUGGCGAACGGGUGAGUAACACGUGAGUAACCUGUCCUUGACUUUGGGAUAACUUCAGGAAACUGGGGCUAAUACCGGAUAGGAGCUCCUGCUGCAUGGUGGGGGUUGGAAAGUUUCGGCGGUUGGGGGUGGACUCGCGGCUUAUCAGCUUGUUGGUGGGGUAGUGGCUUACCAAGGCUUUGACGGGUAGCCGGCCUGGGAGGGUGACCGGCCACAUUGGGACUGCGCUACGGCCCAGACUCCUACGGGAGGCAGCAGUGGGGAAUAUUACACAAUGGGCGGAAGCCUGAUGCAGCAACGCCGCGUGCGGGAUGACGGCCUUCGGGUUGUAAACCGCUUUCGCCUGUGACGAAGCGUGAGUGACGGUAAUGGGUAAAGAAGCACCGGCUAACUACGUG
rnacentral:rRNA from 1 species